UGCAGAAGCUGCAGGGCGUUUACAACCUGCAGGAUCCUCACUUCUGGACUUUGUGUACGGACGUUUACAUCGGGACGUUAAAACUGCUGGUCGCUCCUGAUGCCGACACACGCUGGAUCCUCAGCCAGACGCACAACAUCUUCACACAGGCUGGAGUUCGGCAGCUGUACGUUCAGAUUGAGACGGCCUCCAUGUAGAAGCCCCGCCUCUUCUGAACACCUGGGACCAAUCACCUUUCAGUCUGCUGCAGGUGACCUCUGACCCACCUCCCAGAGUCAAUGAAGGACAGACAGCGUGGGGGGGGGGGGCAGUGAGACUGAACUACCAAGAUGCUCCAGCCAAAAAUGGCCUCUCUCCCCCCUAAGUUCUUUCUUUCUUUUUACGUACCUGACCCCCCCACACCCCUCGCUGCACUUUGUAGACUGGAGCAAAAGCAUUCUGGGUAAGUGCCUUCAUCAUGAAUCAGAGACAAUUUGAGCCCCCCCUCCCUAUGACAUCACCGGCGUGUGAUGUCACUGUUUUUAAAACGUGCCAAAUCAUGUGACCAGACGGGGGGUUUCAGUCUUCUUCUUUUUUCAACUGUAAUAAAUAAAUAAUUGUUUCU